ensembl:snoRNA predicted gene, 25422
AAUAUUCCUGAAGUAAGAAUUAUAACUGCUGUGACACAUGUGUCUCAGUAGGUGGCAGAGAGGAGAGAGGCUAUGUCGAUACUCAGUGUUCUAACCUGUGAACAUCUGAGUGAUGAAUAGUCUAACAAU